AUAUAUAUAUAUAUCUAUGUACUAAAGUCAAAUUAUGUUUAUGUACAUAUUUACUUAUAUAUUUGUCAACAAAUCGAUAAAUUAUCUGUAUCUAUCUGAGAAUUAAUACGGAUAUAAAUCAAAAUAAAAUUAAGAAGAAAAUUAAAAGAUAAAUGAAAAUGAGGAAAGAAAUUUUAAUUAAAAAAGAAAGGGAACAUUAAGAAAAUAAGUGAACAGAUAUGUAUUGGGAGAGUGGAUUAAUUGAUAUCGACUUUAUAUUUUCGUAUAUUUGUGUGGGAUAGAUAAAUGGAAACUCGACUUUUGAUAAAUAUUUGCUUCUUCUGAAAAUCAAAAAGAGAAUUUAAAAAAAAAAUGAAACUAAAACUAUUCGACGAAAGUUGGACGAACUUAUUUUCAAUCGAGACGAAAUUCCAAGAAAGAAAAGACGAUAAGCAUACAAACCGAAGUACCUGAAAAUUGCCCGCACAUUUGGAAUCAAUAUUGGAAAUCGCCGGUGAUAUUCUUCAUGCUCUUGUAUAUAGUUCUCGAUGCGAUAUUACCACACACAUUGCUAAAAGUUGAUAUUCCUUAUAUACGCGUCGAGAAGAAUCGUGCACAGAAUUCAAGAAAUCAUCAAAGAAAAAUAUUAAUGGCUACUACGUGCAUCUAUUCCUGGCAAACAGCUGCGGCAGCGAGAAAGUUUCAAUGUUUAUUCGUCGGAGUAUAAAGAAGAACUAAUUCGGUAACCAUCCAAACCAAUCAUUUAUUAACUUUAUAUGUUGCUAACGAUGGCCAUUUCAAAAUUCAAGUCUAACAGAAAAUAAAUAUAAAUUAUCUGAUAUUUCAUCGGUGUUCCGUGGCGUGUAAUGUUUAGCGGAAUCUUUCAUUGCUUAAACAGUGGAUAAUUUAACUCGCCGUACAUCUAUAUCGUUUAAAUGAAUUUAAAAUUAUCAAAAGUAUUAAGUUUGAAGUUUUUACCUUUAAAAAGUGAGGACAACCGUCAAAGUUAUUCCAAUGUUUGUUUUUAUUGACAUUACACGCAGCGACGAAACUUAGAUACAACUAUCCCAAUAUGAAAAUCAUAAAUUAUUUAAAUUUUAGCUUAAAAUUAUUUUAUUUUAUUCCCGCGUUACGAUCUUCGUAAUGUUUAAACGAAUAUACUAUCGUUUAAAUCUUACGAUCAUGAAAAUAAUUCAUUUAUCGAUUCUAUUAUAUCUAAAGCAUUAACUUGAAAUAUUAUAAUUAUUACUAUAAUAAUAAUAAUAUUCAGUUUAUCAAAAAUCAAACAAAACCAUAUCAAUUCUUCGUUCUUUCGGUUAAAAGAUGAAAAGCACCGAAUGAUUUAUAUUUUGGUAUUUUUCCAUAUUUACCCUUUGUACUCGGUGUCCUUUCGAACGUUUAUUAGCAGCAAUACAGCGGCAUUUCGUCGCGCAAACGUGGCAUAUAGUAUAACAUUAUAUAGUUUCACUUUGGUAACCAAGGAAUAUAUUAUAUAGUGGUAUUUGAUUUAUAUGAAUUUACAUAGGAACAAAUUUUUUGCAAAAAAAAAUCGAAAUUUUAUUGCUUAUAAUUUUCUUUAUAAUCUUCUAAAGAGACAUCCGAGUGCAAUGGUUUAAAAAGAAUAGAAAAACACAAAUUAAAAUUAAGAGAAAAGGAACAUUCAAAAAAGCAUUAAAAAAAAGCAAACAAAUAUAUAUUGGGAAAGUAUACUGAAUGAUUAUAUUUGCGUGCAUACAGUUGAUAUAAACACGACUUUUGAUAAGUUUUUGCUUUUUUCGUAAUUCGUUAAAAAUUUCUUCAAAAAUUUAUCGUAAUUAAUCAGGUUCAGGAAAAGGUCAAAUCAGUAAUAAAUGAAAUUCAAUUCAUAACUUAUGUGAAAAUCUAAUUAGUUAAUAUUAUAUAGAAUCGUUCUAUUUCUUAAAUAUUUGUUAUUCAUCAACCC